ensembl:lncRNA
CUGGGUCAACUUUGCUUGCGGGAGACAGAGAGAGGCGUUGAAAGGCUGCUCCAACGGAACUUAUUUUUUCCGGAGGAAAACACGAACACAGUGUACAGUUGAGUCUUAAUAGCUUACUUACAAAUGGGCUCGUCAGGCACUCUUCUUGGCUGCAGUGGUUAUUAUUAUAUUUACAUGCUUCCAGCUCCCGUUUUUGCUCCGUGACAGCUCGGACUUUUCUUUUCUCUCCCUCCCUCGCUCACAGACACAUAACGUGUAUGGCAGUCCAUUCUCGCUGCAGCACGGACUACACUGCCCAUGAUGCUACAUUCUUUAGGGCCAUGCCUGUAGCAUUCUGCCUAUUAGCUUAGCACAACAACAACAACAAAAAAGCGCUCUCUCACCCACGAAACACGCAGAGAGAGAGAGCGUCACCCUGUAACCAUGGCAACCGUAACGCUGCCGCCUGGAACAACAGAACACAGCUGUCAAACAAACCCAAACAAUCCUGACCCGUGACAAUAUGAAACAGGAAAGUACCGCCGUGUAAUCCAUUUAUUUCAACAAAGUAACUGUAUUCUGAAUACCACCUUUUUAAACGGUAACUGUAACGGAAUACAGUUACUCAUAUUUUGUAUUCUAAAUACGUAACGGCGGUACAUGUAUUCUGUUACUCCCCAACACUGUCUGUACUUUACUUGAGUAGUUUUUUUCUGAAUACUUUUUACUUUUACUCCCUACAUUUUAAAUGGUUUGUUCCAGCUCGCCUCUCCCCUACUCUGGCUCUAGCGCCCUUUCUGCCAGAGCUGAGACGCAGCGGAGCGGAGGUAGAGACAGCCAGGUUCAUAAUGGAUAUAAGGAAGUUUUUUUCAAAAAAAGGAGCCACAUUCAGCAUGUCUUUAUCCUGUUUUUCUUCUCUCACCCCAACCGGUCUCAGCAGAUGGCCGCCCCUCCCUGAGCCUGGUUCUGCCGGAGGUUUCUUCCUGUUAAAAGGGAGUUUUUCCUUCCCACUGUCGCCAAAGUGCUUGCUCAUAGGGGGUCAUAUGAUUGUUGGGUUUUUCUC